UUUGGCGCGGAGGGGCGGGGCUUGUGCGCAGAGGGGCGGGGCGCGGCGCCGUUCCCGCAGUCCCCGGCCGCCAUGGCGGGCGCGGCGGCGGGCGGUCCCUGUGACGGGCUGCUCGACUACAAGACGGCGAAGUUCGCCCUGACGCGGAACCGGCGGAUCGGGCUGCUGCACCGCCUGCUCCAGCUCGGCGUGCUGGGCUACCUCUUCGGGUGGGUGCUGCUGGUGCGGAAGGGCUACCAGGAGAGCGACCGCGCCCCCCGCGCCGCCGUGGUCACCAAGCUGAAGGGGGCGGCGGCGGCGGCGGCGGCGGGGGGCGCGGGCCGGCGGCUGUGGGACGCGGCGGAGCUCGGCCGGCCCCCCCAGGGAGAAAACGUGCUGUUUCUGGUGACCAACUUCAUCGCCACAGCAGAGCAAGCCCAGGGCAAGUGUCCCGAGAGCCCCUCUGUUCUCGACGCGGCGUGCGGGGAAGAUGCAGACUGUCCCACGGGAACCCCAGUGCUUCGUGGCAACGGGAUAAAAACUGGGAAGUGCGUGAUGUUCAACGCCACCCAUUCCACCUGCGAGAUCUACGGCUGGUGUCCUGUGGAGAACAACACCCUGCCCAGGAAACCUCUUCUGGCUGAGGCGGAGAAUUCCACUCUCUUUAUAAAAAGUACUGUCCACUUCACCAAGUUUAACUUCUCCAAGUGCAACACUUUGCAAACCGAUGACCCCACCUAUUUCAAGAGCUGCACGUACCAUCCAUUCUUCAAACCUUUCUGCCCCGUCUUCCGUGUCCGUGACAUGGUGGAGGCAGCUGGAGAGACCUUUGGAGACCUCGCUCUGCUGGGGGGGAGCAUCGGAGUUCGCAUCGAGUGGGACUGCAACCUGGAUCGCCCCGCUGCCGAGUGCCAGCCGCGGUACUCCUUCAGCCUGCAGGACAGGGGGUACAAUUUCAGAACCGCCUCCUACUUCUGGGACUCCCAACGACGGCUCUACCGGAACCUGCUGAAGCUCUACGGCAUCCGCUUCGACAUCUCCGUGCUCGGCCAGGCCGGGAAGUUCAGCAUCGUUCCUGCUGCCGUGAGCUUCGGCACCGGCAUCGCCUUCUUUGGUGCCGUGAGUAUUCCAGAUACGCUCUUUUUCUCUGCUCCGUGGGUUGGGAUUUGCCACUCAUCCGUUGUUUCUCCGGAGUGCCUGUCAGCCCGGGAAGGAGAGGGGGGUUGUCUGGCGGGGUGUUACCUCCCGUUUUCCUGUUUGCCAUCGUAACGACGCUGCUGUAUCAAGGAUCCUGAGCGCUCUCUGGGGCACAUCUCCCGGAAGCCGGGUGUUUGUGUGACCCCGGGAAGGCGUGUUGCUGGCUGGUCCGUUCCAGCUGCCUCCCGCAGGAGAGAGCGUCCCCUCCGGGUGUUUCUCCCUGACUGUAAGGGGAGCCGGCAUCUGGCCGCAGCAGGGACGAUGGCGCUGUGGCCAUCAAGAUGGGGCGGCCCCUUGUUAGGGCGCUUCUGCGGCUCUUCCCUUUCGGCAGAACAGGGGGGAGCCUGGGCCCCCCACCCGCCCCCUCCUUCCUCCCAGCCCCUGGCGCGGCUGCGACAGCAGCUCUCUGCUGGAGCAGCCCUGCGCCCGUGCGUGGCAACCCGGAUGGCCACUAGCCUCCUGGGCAGCUGACGGAGCAGGCUGGGCCAGGGAGACCCGCCGGAGCUGCCUGGGUGGCCGGGGGCAGGUCAGGCUCGCUGGCUGCGGGGCUGGGUGGGAGCCGGGGCAGAGGGGGCCGGUGCUGCGGCGGGAGGUGUCGCCGCCGGCUGCCCCGCUCUGUCUGUCUCCAGGCCACCGUGGUCUGUGACCUGGUUCUGCUCUACCUGGAUGCGAAGGCUGACUUCUACUGGAAGGAGAAGUUCGAGGAGGCAAAACCCCCUAAAGGUGAGAGGGAGCCCGCGGCCUAGGGACAGCGGGGAGCGCGCCACCACGAGCAUCCUUCGCUCUGGAGCGACCUCCAGGUAGAUGUGACGGGGGCCAUGGCUGCGGCCCCCCUGGAGGCGGCCCGGUUCUCCUGAGCCGAGCGUGCGCUGCUGGGGGUUAGGGUCUGCGUGUCCUGGAGGAACAGCAGCGGAAGUUCUUGGCUCCUGGGGCGCAAAGCCAUCCCCUGACCGGCCGGGGAGCCAGCAGAGCCCUGCCACGGAGCUGCUGGGGGAACCAAGCGCUUGCUGAGAAGCAACUGGCCCCAGCUCGCCCCGGGAGGCUUAAAGCACUUGGCGCUUCGUGUUCUAGGUGGCCCUGGGUCUUAUUUCCCGUGAAAAACGGGGGGUGCAAGGAAAUAAAGCUGUUGAGAAAGCA